UACGUAGGGGGCUAGCGUUGUCCGGAAUCAUUGGGCGUAAAGAGCGUGUAGGCGGCCCGGUAAGUCCGCUGUGAAAGUCGGGGGCUCAACCCUCGAAUGCCGGUGGAUACUGUCGGGCUAGAGUGCGGAAGAGGCGAGUGGAAUUCCUGGUGUAGCGGUGAAAUGCGCAGAUAUCAGGAGGAACACCAAUUGCGAAGGCAGCUCGCUGGGACGUAACUGACGCUGAGACGCGAAAGCGCGGGGAGCAAACAGG
rnacentral:rRNA from 1 species